AUGUCCGAAAAUAUUUUGUUAUGCUUAUUGUUUGUAAAUAUCGUAUUUUGUUAUGACUAUUUGGACCUGGAUCCUAAUGACCGUUCGAGGAUGGGAAGCUAUAAGACAGAUGAGAUGGAUGAUAGUGAAGUGGCUAACAUCGACGUUGCUGGUUUAUUUCAAAGUUCGGAUGACGACGGGUUCAAUAAUAGAUUCCAAGUAGCUGAUGAUUCACGAGAAUAUCUGUCAAAUAGUAAUUUUGACUCACUUGUUGAGGCCAACUUAGAAGAGUAUCAAGGAAAUGAGGAUUACUCGAACAAAGAUACACGUGAUGACGGCUUAUUCGAUGAAAGGCCUCAAAGUUACCGGAACGAUCGUUCACUGGCCACUAAUGAAAAGGAAAUUCAAAGAUAUGACAAUUUUAAGAACCAAAAUAACUACAAGAAUUUACAAAAGAAAUGUGUGUUCAAAAAUAUGAAAAUUCCUUUUUUUUCCCAUGAGAAACGGAAGACGACUCAGCCAAAGAAGAACAAGAAAAGAAAAUUAUUUAACUUUGCAUCUAAAAACGUAAAGGGGAGGGCGAGUAAAGUUACUACGCCUUUGAGCUUGACGACACAGAGGUCUACAGAAAGCACUUUGUUUAAAUUGAAUAAAAGGUCUUAUUUAGAAGGAGUAUGUCCCAUAUGUAGACGAAAAUAUAAAGCGAGGCGGGUGAAGAGCAAUGAGGAUUCUACUAGUUUAAUUCACAAUAGCAGACAGUUUUAUAAUAGAAAACCAAAUAAUAUUGUACAUCAUGGUAAUUACAAUAAAAUAAGUAAGACCCAGGACGAGGAGCCUGAACAAACAAUCAGAGAUCCAACAUUAUCGAGUGAACUAAAUCUCUCUGGAAGAUAAUGAUUUGAGAGAUUUGUAAUAAUAUGUUUCUUUUGAAUAAUUUUGUAAGUGUAUUAGAUGUACAGUGUUUCAUUAGUCCUUUAUUUC